CCGUCCAGAUAUGCAACGGUAUAUUCAGUGCCUGACACGUGGCUAGGCAAGCCUACGUAUUCCUGCUGGUGCUUGGUUCAGGCUAUGUGCCUGGCUAGGUCCGGUGGGUCUGGUGUAACGCCAGAGCGAUAUGACCGAAACUGUACUCUGGACUUCAGGGUAUGGAGGUCGACACGAUAUCCAAAUGUGGAAUGAGCGUGAAGGCAAUAAAUCGUUUGUAGACGACUUAAUGUUUUGUCGGGGAGACGUAAGUGUAAGAGCAGCUAUCACACUGCGAGACACUGAGUCCUAUCCCUACUUGACGUAAUGAUUUGAGGGCACGACCCUCAUUCAUUAGGGGCCGUAUAGGCCCCGCGGGCGCACUCAUAUAUGUGCAUACAAGUGUAUACUUCUGUGUAUACAUCAAUCCAUCGUUGGGUAGUGAACAUGGGGCCCGUCUGCCUACAUGCUUUUGGGCUCAUAGACAUUUGUCUGCGUCCAUUUGUGUGCGAGUGCUUGACUGACUUGUGUGCUCCCUUUGCUUAGUGUAUGCUAUGCAUUGGUUGAGCUGACUUCAGUCUUGCUCCAUAGGCAACGUGCUUGAACUUCGAUAUAUAUGGUAUUACCCUGCGGUGGUUUGUUGUAUAUGCGUGGGUGUACGCGUGUGUUCAUAUAUGUACAUGUGUAUGCUUGUGUAUAUGCAUACGUGCGUGUAUGUGUAUUCGUAUACGUACGAAUGCAUGUAUAAACGUCUACGUUUAAGUAUAUACAGGUGUAUGUGUGUAUAUGUGCUGACGUGUGUAUAUCUAUACGUAUACGUGGGGUGAAUUUCCUCGCAUAUGAAGUGGGAUGGCUGCUCGCUCCUUAGCGGAGGGCUGGUUCUUCGGGGCUGGUCAUUCGUUCUCGAGUGUGGCGUGCCUCUCUUGAGCUGAUUAAUCCGAUUGGCUUGUCCUGUAAGCCGGGCGACCAGGUGCAGGUUGCUUUGGUGGUGCAUGAUCGAUAUUCGCUAGCAGGAAACUGCUGUAUGAAUGGGAAUGUGACGCCCGGGGCAACGUCUCUUCCUGUGAAAACAUGUGGUGGUGCGCAUGUGAAGCUAACGCUCCGUGAAACCGCGACACGGUCCAGCGGCUAGCUCGUUGAUUUUGAUCCUGUGCCCCGACGGCUUCGGCUGAACGGGUUGAGGACUGUGAAU
rnacentral:misc_RNA from 1 species